GACGAACGCUGGCGGCGUGCUUAACACAUGCAAGUCGAACGGAAAGGCCUGCUUUCCCCUGUGGAUUGCGGGUACUCGAGUGGCGAACGGGUGAGUAACACGUGAGUGAUCUGCCCCCAACUUGGGUAUAAGCCUGGGAAACUGGGUCUAAUUCCCGAUAGGACUGCAGGGUGGUGCCUGUGGUGGAAAACGAUUUUCUAGUGGUUGGGGAUGAGCUCGCGGCCUAUCAGCUUGUUGGUGGGGUAAUGGCCUACCAAGGCGGCGACGGGUAGCCGGCCUGAGAGGGUGGACGGCCACAUUGGGACUGGGAUACGGCCCAGACUCCUACGGGAGGCAGCAGUGGGGAAUAUUGCACAAUGGGCGGAAGCCUGAUGCAGCGACGCCGCGUGGGGGAUGACGGCCUUCGGGUUGUAAACUCCUUUCGACCGCGAGGAAGCCACCUGGUUGGAAGGGUGGUGACGGUAGUGGCAGAAGAAGCACCGGCUAACUACGUG
rnacentral:rRNA from 1 species